UAGUCAAUGCUCGCAAGAGUGAACUAGCUAACUGAAAUCAUAUAGUUUCUAUAAACUAAUGAUGUCGUAAGGGAAAAUAAUGAUAAUACCUUACUAUUAGUGUCGUCCAAAUCUGGUGCCAGAAGACUCGGUAAGACCAGAGACGCAAACGUUAAUCAUCAUAAUCAGGCGUAAAGGGUUUGUAGGCAGCAUUCACCAGACUAUAAAUAAUAAAAUAAAGUAGUUUAAUUGAUUGCUAGAAUCAAAAAGAGGUUAUAGUGUAUAACGCCUAGAGGAGGGCUGAUAUCCAUAGAUCCUAGGCAGAAUACUAAGGGCGAAGGCCACUCUCCACUAAUGAUUGACGCUGAGAAACGAAGGUUAGGGUAGGAAAUAGGAUUAGAUACCCCGGUACUCCUUUCUGUAAACGAUGAAUGGUAGUCAUUAGUUCUAAAACUAGAGACGAAGUUAACACAAUAACCAUUCCGCCUUGUGAGUACUACUGCAAAGUAGAAAACAAAAAAAUUAGUCGGUCUCGAAGCAAACGGAGUGAAGCAUGUUAUUUAAU
rnacentral:rRNA from 1 species